GAUGAACGCUGGCGGCGUGCCUAAUACAUGCAAGUCGAGCGAACAGACGAGGAGCUUGCUUCUCUGACGUUAGCGGCGGACGGGUGAGUAACACGUGGAUAACCUACCUAUAAGACUGGGAUAACUUCGGGAAACCGGAGCUAAUACCGGAUAAUAUAUUGAACCGCAUGGUUCAAUAGUGAAAGACGGUUUUGCUGUCACUUAUAGAUGGAUCCGCGCCGCAUUAGCUAGUUGGUAAGGUAACGGCUUACCAAGGCGACGAUGCGUAGCCGACCUGAGAGGAGGAUCGGCCACACUGGAACUGAGACACGGUCCAGACUCCGACGGGGGGCAGCAGUGGGGAAUAUUGGGCAAGGGGCGAAAGCCUGAUGCAGCAACACCGCGUGGGUGAAGAAGGUCUUCGGAUUGUAAAGCUCUUUUAUUGGGAAAGAAAAAAUGUAAAUGAAUAUCCCCCUGUUGUGACGGUACCUAAUGAAAAAGCACCGGCUAACUCCGUG
rnacentral:rRNA from 1 species